CUAAAGUCACAGUACUCUCUCUCAGCUACAGCCGGUAACCCUAAAGUCACAGUACUAUCGCUCAGCUAACUAUCGCUCAGCUACAGCCGUUAACCCUAAAGUCACAGUACUCUCUCCCACGCACAGUAAACCCU
rnacentral:lncRNA from 1 species